UAGGGAAUCUUCGGCAAUGGACGAAAGUCUGACCGAGCAACGCCGCGCGAGUGAAGAAGGUUUUCGGAUCGUAAAACUCUGUUGUUAGAGAAGAACAAGGACGUUAGUAACUGAACGUCCCCUGACGGUAUCUAACCAGAAAGCCACGGCUAACUACGUGCCAGCAGCCGCGGUAAUACGUAGGUGGCAAGCGUUGUCCGGAUUUAUUGGGCGUAAAGCGAGCGCAGGCGGUUUCUUAAGUCUGAUGUGAAAGCCCCCGGCUCAACCGGGGAGGGUCAUUGGAAACUGGGGGACUUGAGUGCAGAAGAGGAGAGUGGAAUUCCAUGUGUAGCGGUGAGAUGCGUAGAUAUAUGGAGGAACACCAGUGACGAAGGCGGCUCUCUGGUCUGUAACUGACGCUGAGGCACGAAAGCGUGGGGAGCAAACAGG
rnacentral:rRNA from 1 species